rnacentral:rRNA from 1 species
AGAUUGAACGCUGGCGGCAUGCCUUACACAUGCAAGUCGAACGGCAGCACGGGAGCUUGCUCCUGGUGGCGAGUGGCGAACGGGUGAGUAAUACAUCGGAACGUACCCAGGAGUGGGGGAUAACGUAGCGAAAGUUACGCUAAUACCGCAUAUUCUGUGAGCAGGAAAGCGGGGGAUCGCAAGACCUCGCGCUCUUGGAGCGGCCGAUGUCGGAUUAGCUAGUUGGUGAGGUAAAAGCUCACCAAGGCGACGAUCCGUAGCAGGUCUGAGAGGAUGAUCUGCCACACUGGGACUGAGACACGGCCCAGACUCCUACGGGAGGCAGCAGUGGGGAAUUUUGGACAAUGGGGGCAACCCUGAUCCAGCCAUGCCGCGUGAGUGAAGAAGGCCUUCGGGUUGUAAAGCUCUUUCGGCGGGGAAGAAAUGGCAACGGCUAAUAUCCGUUGUUGAUGACGGUACCCGCAUAAGAAGCACCGGCUAACUACGUGCCAGCAGCCGCGGUAAUACGUA